GGUGAGCCCUCUCUCUUGCUCUUGCUUGCUUGCACUGAUGAAGUAAGCUGCCACGUUGUGAGAUGCUCUACGAAGAGGCCCAUGAGGCAGGGCACCGAGGGAGGCUUCUGGCCAACAGCUCCUGGGGAACUAAGGCCUUAGGAAGCGAGUCCUGCCAACAAUAACCAGAGCCUUGAACUUUGGAACCACAGUGCCUUGUUCCAGCGCGGAAAGCAGCGUGGCACUUCCCUGUGGUGAAAGCACCCCAGCUUGAAAGGGUAAAAACACCUUCUCCCAGAUAGUCUCCCUUUGUUUAGCCAGUGCUUUUUGCCAGUGGUCACCUUAAGGAAAUCAAACGAAGGGGUCAGUCAGGAGUGGAUCUGGAGCUGGAGAACUCUCAAUACGCCACUUCAGUUUAUUGACGACAUUUAUAAUUGCAACGGAAGUUGACUGAUUUCUGCUAAAUGAAAGUUUGCGCUUUGCCCUUUAGCAUUGAGGCUCCUGGAAAGAACUUCAAUGAAAUUGGGUGCAUUGAGACCAAAGAAAAGAAGGGGACAUUUUUAUCUCUCUGAUACCUUUCUCCCCAGGGCUUGGAAACACUUCUUAAACACAACCUCUGAAGUUGGUGUUUUAUUUGAGGCUUAAGCAACUUCUUCCGGGGAAAAGUGCCAGUGCAGCCGCUGUUGCAAUUCAAGAUCUUGAUCUAUAUCCAUAGAUUGGAAUAU
rnacentral:sRNA from 1 species